UCCCAAGUUUGAUUCUUUUCUAGAGAACUCAUCUCUUCUUUCAUAGCCUUAAGCCACUCCUUAGAUUGACCACUAUUCAUAGCCUCUUCAAAAGUUUCCGGCUCCCUAUCAACUAGUUCUUCAUGACUAGCGUAUGCAAAAUCCAAUUCAGAUUUAUACCCGAACCUUCUAGGUUCUCUCGUUUGUCUUCUCUCUCUAUCUCUAACUAAAUUAUAGUUAGCUAAUGGAUUUUCUUCCUCAGGAUGCUCUUCUAUCACUACUUCAUUUUCCUCUUCAGGUUCUUGGAC
rnacentral:lncRNA from 1 species